rnacentral:rRNA from 1 species
UACAGAGGUCCCGAGCGUUGUUCGGAUUCAUUGGGCGUAAAGGGUGCGUAGGUGGCGGGGUAAGUCAGGUGUGAAAUUUCGGAGCUUAACUCCGAAACUGCAUUUGAUACUGCCUUGCUUGAGGACUGGAGAGGAGACUGGAAUUCACGGUGUAGCAGUGAAAUGCGUAGAGAUCGUGAGGAAGACCAGUGGCGAAGGCGGGUCUCUGGACAGUUCCUGACACUGAGGCACGAAGGCCAGGGGAGCAAACGGG